AACGCACCUUGCGCCCCUUGGUAUUCCGAGGGGCACACCCGUUUGAGUGUCGUGAAAAUCUCAACCUUCUUGGUUUCUUUUGAACGCCAAGGAGGCUUGGACUUUGGAGGGCUUUGCUGGACUUGAAAGGUCAGCUCCUCUCAAAUGAAUUAGCGAGGUCCCCUUUGCCGAUCCUCGACGUGUGAUAAGAUGCUUCCACGUCUCGGUCUUUGGCUCUGUCGCCUCUUGGGACCUGCUUCCAAUCGUCUCUCGAUGAGACAACGUUCGAGCAUGCCUCGACCACGUACCCUUGACCUCAAAUCGGGUGAGACUACCCGCUGAACUUAA
rnacentral:misc_RNA from 1 species